rfam:Triticum aestivum chloroplast DNA, complete genome.
AAUAACCAAAUAUAACACUAGGGCUAAGGGUCAAAUUGGUAAUUUUUCUUACAUCUCCUCCCCCAGGGGCCCAGGUAUCAUAUACACCGGCAAAAUAAAGAGCCUUGAGUACUAGAAGAGAAGCACCUAGGCCUAACAAAAUUAAGUGGGUACCCAAAAUUGUAGUCAUUUUAUUUCUAUCUUUCCA